UUAUCAACUGAGUCUGUGUUGUGGAAACAAAAAGAAAGCAGGCCAAUGAUGUUUCUGGACGCUCAGUGCCCCACGGAGAGGUCUUUGCUCUGGAGGAACUGAUGUCCAAAUACUCUGCCUUAGGUCUUGGAGCAAUGUUAGUAGGACAAUAAUGUCCUCAAGCAUUGAUAAUAACCAAUUUAACCUUCACUAUGCCUGAAGUUCUGCAACAGCAGUGAUUUGCCUGUCAACAGGACUGUGACACUGAACAGAAAUGUACUCAAGUUCACAGUAUCAGAUUCCGGGAACACACCUCUGCAUUCAGGAAAGGGAUCAAGUUCCUCAUGGUCUAUAAUACCAGUAGCAGGGAAAAUCUCUGGGUGGUGACUUCAUGGCUGGGACAGUCUUUGGAGUGAGAAUGGGAAAGGAGCUAGAAAAAGGUCUUUCCAUGUCUAGUCAAGGAAAGCAUCAAGACUGGUCCUAUGGAAAUUUCCUUGGAGAAUUGCCUUUGAGGGGUGGGAAGGAUUUACAUAAGUGGAGUAGAAGUGGAAAGACAGUUUGCCUUAGUCAUAAAAGUGUGUGUAUAAGCACAAAUACAGCAAUGUGAAAGACUGUAACAGAGACUUCUGAGUCGAAGAUGGGCAGAAGUAAAAGUCUGAUGUGAUAAGGGUCUUAUUUUCCCUUUAAAAAUUCUCCAAUAUAGCUGAAAAUAAGUGCAAUAUAUUUUCCCCUCUGAUAAAUUCUGUCUCCAUUUAAAACAUAUUUAUCAAUCAACACAUAUUUAUAGAAUAUUUUCCCUCAUGUGAUAAAUAUAUAGUAUAUGUUCUCAACAAAGACAAGUGCAAAGAAGCUAUUUACACCUAACUUUAUGAGCCAAAAAUUAAGACAAAAACUUGAACACAGAACUGCCCUUGAAAAUCCUGAGCAGAAGUUCCCAUUGUGGCUCAGCAGUAAGGAACCCAGCUAGUAUCCAUGAGGGCGUGGGUUUGAUUCUGCCCCCGGCUCAGUGGGCUAAGGACCUGGCAUUUCCAUGAGCUGUGGUGUAGGUCAGAGACAUGGUUCACAUCUAGUGUUGCUGUGGCUGCAGCAUAGGCCAGCAGCUGCAGCUCUGAUUGGACCUCUAGCCUGGGAACUUCCAUAUGCCACAGGUGCACCCCUAAAAAAAAAACUAAAAAAAAAGAAAAGAAAGAAAAUAAAAGAAAAUCCAGAGAAGACAGUAAGCAUAAAAGAUACGAAGGUUUAGGCAAAAACAAGGAGGCUCCAUCUACCUCAGAGAAGAACAGAGUUGCACCAAACUUCCAUCAAAGAUGAGGUUGAAAGAAACCCAAGACAGACAAUAUGGCACAAGGAAUAAGCUACUGGAAUCAUUUCACUUAAAACUAAGAACACCAUAAUUAAAUGUCAAGUAAAACACAAACACCCCUCAUAUAACAGAAGCUCAAUAAAUAUUUAUUGAAUAGAUGAGUAAAGGAAUCAAAACCAUUACUGCACAUAUUACAAGUGUUCUGGUUUGGCAGUAAGUACAACAUUUGAUGGCACACACCCUAAAAAUAAGCAUCUGGUUCCCACAUUGAAUUUUAUUUCCAAAAAGUGUCAAGAAAAAACAGAACUCUAAUAAUAUAGAAAAAUAAAUAUGUAAAUAAAUGCAUAGAAAUAAAUAAAUGCCCUCCUAAGACUUUAAACACUAUUGGUAAUUAACAAUGAUCUAUUCCUUAAACUUUGUGGGGGUGCAUUAUAUGUUUAUUAUAUUAACCUUUAUUCCUUAUAAAGCCCUUUCUUAAUAAAUUGUAGUUUAAAAUAAAGAGAGACAAAUUUUAUGAGUUAAAAAAAACAAAACUCAUUAUCCCGUCCCCUGCCAAUCUGUAAGUUUGGGGAGGAAUUUAAGCUGAAGUUAAACUGGUCAUGGAGCCUAUUCUGCUGGCAUUUGAUAGGAUUUUACUAAGCAGCUCAUUUCUCUGUUUUUUUGUUCAUAAUAAAAUUUUGUAAAGAAGUCUGAGCAUAUGAUAAAAUACAUAUUUUAUAUAUAUAUACACAUAAUGCCCCUUAGGACCCAAGACACUAAAAUGACUCUGUGGAAGUGAAUGUGGAAGCCACUUUAAGCUGACUCAUAUCUGCCACUGAAUUCAGUACUGGGAUUUCUUCUUUCUUUCUUUCUUUCUUUCUUUCUUUCUUUCUUUCUUUCUUUCUUCUUUCUUUCUUUCUUUCUUCCCUCUUUCUUUUAUUUCAUUAGCUAGGAUUUCCAGUAAAAUCUUGAAAAAGAGAGGUGAGAGGGAACAUUUUGGCAAGACCUCAAGGGGAUCCUCUGCCCCUUGGUGAACUAAAGCGGAAAUUGCUGACGAAGAAAGAAAGAGCGAGAGAAAGAAAGAAAAGAAAUAUAGACUAAGAGGGAAGAAAUAAAAUUGUCUUUGUUAGUAGAUGACAUAUGUGUCCAGUUUGCUAGAAUUAACAAAAAUAUUGGAAAUAAGAAGUGAUUAUAACAAAGUUGCAGGAGUCAAGAUUAAUAUACAGAAGUCAAUCACUUUCUUACGUAGCAGCAAAGAACAGUGGAAUUUGAAAUGAAAAAGACAAGGCCGUUUAUAUUACUGCUCCACAAGAUGGAUACUUAGAUAUAAAUCUAACAAGAUAUAUAUGAGGAAAACUACAAAACUCUGAGGAAAGAAAUCAAAAAGCUAAAUAAAUGGAGAGAUAUUCCAUGUGCAUGGAUAGACCCAUUAUUGUCAAAAUGUGAGUGCUUCUCAACUUGAUCUAUAGAUUCAACACAAUCCCAAUCAAAAUUCCAUUGUUAUUUUGUGGAUAUCAUGAAACAGAUGCUGAAGUUUAUAUAUGCAUUGGCAAAAGACCCAGAAUAUCCAAGACAAUAGAGAAGGAGAAGAACAAAAUCAGAAGACCAACACUACCCAACUUCAAGACUGACUUACUAUAAAGCUGCAGUAUUCAAUACAGGGGGGGUAUUGGUGAAAGAACAGACAAACAUAUCAAUGGAACAGUAUAGAGAUCCCCAAAAUAGACCCCCAUAAAUAUAGUCAACUUUAUCUUCAACAAAGAGCAAAGACAAUGCAAUAGAGCAAAGAAUAGAGACAGACUUUAUCUCCUCAGAGAAUUAAGCUCAAAAUGGAUCUUGAACCUAAAUACAAAAUGCAAAACUAUGAAAGCCCAGGAAGACAAAAUAGGCAAAAAAUGUCAGCAACCUGGAGGAAACCUGAUGAUUUUUAGAUAUAACACCAAAGACAUAAUACACCAAGAAAUAAUUGGUCUUCAUUUAAUAAAAAAAAAAACAAAACUUAUGCCUCCUAG